UACGAAGGGGGCUAGCGUUGUUCGGAAUUACUGGGCGUAAAGCGCACGUAGGCGGACAUUUAAGUCAGGGGUGAAAUCCCAGAGCUCAACUCUGGAACUGCCUUUGAUACUGGGUGUCUUGAGUAUGGAAGAGGUGAGUGGAAUUCCGAGUGUAGAGGUGAAAUUCGUAGAUAUUCGGAGGAACACCAGUGGCGAAGGCGGCUCACUGGUCCAUUACUGACGCUGAGGUGCGAAAGCGUGGGGAGCAGACAGG
rnacentral:rRNA from 1 species